rnacentral:lncRNA from 1 species
CUGGCUUUGGGGUCACUCCCGGGAUUUGGGGUCACCCUCGGUAUCCGGGGUCACUCCCGGAAUUCGGGGUCACUCCGGUACUCGGGGUCACUCCCGGAAUUCGGGGUCCCUCCCGAUAUUCGGGGUCACUCCCUGGAUUUGGAAUCAGUGCCUGGGUUUGGGGUCCCUCCCGCGAUUUGGGGUCACCCUCGGUAUUUGUGGUCCAUCUCGAUAUUUGGGGUCACUCCCGGAAUUUGGGGUCACUUCUGGAAUUCAGGGUCCAUCCCGGUAUCCGGGGUCACUCCCGGUAUCCGGGGUCACUCCUGGAAUUCGGGAUCACUCCCGGUACUCGGGGUCCCUCCCGGUAUUUGGGGUCCCGCCCGGUAUCCGGGGUCACUCCCUGGGUUUGGAAUCAGUGCCUGGGUUUGGGGUCCCUCCCGGGAUUUGGGGUCCCUCCCGGUAUUCGGGGUCACUCCCGGAAUUCGGGGUCACUCCCUGGGUUUGGGAUCAGUGCCUGGGUUUGGGGUCCCUCCCGGUAUUCGGGGUCACUCCCGGAAUUCGGGAUCACUCCCUGGGUUUGGGAUCACUCCCUGGAUUUUGGGUCCCUCCCGGAAUUCGGGGUCCAUCCCGGUAUCCGGGGUCCCUACCGGUGUUCGGGGUCACUCCCGGUAUUCGGGGUCCCUCCCGGUAUUUGGGGUCAUCCUCGGUAUUCGGGGUCCAUCCCGAUAUUUGGGGUCGGUCCCUGGAUUUUGGGUCCCUCCCGGUAUUCGGGGUCACUCCCGGUAUUCGGGGUCACUCCCUGGGUUUGGGAUCACUCCCUGGAUUUUGGGUCCCUCCCGGUAUUCGGGGUCCCUCCCGGUAUUCGGGGUCACCCUCGGUAUUCGGGGUCACUCCCUGGCUUUGGGGUCACUCUUCCGGGAUUUGGGGUUCAUCCCGGUAUCCGGGGUCACUCCCGGUAUUUGGGGUCCCUCCCGGUAUCCGGGGUCCCUCCCGGUAUUCGGGGUCACUCCCGGUAUUCGGGGUCCCUCCCGGUAUUCGGGGUCACCCUCGGUAUUCG